AACUGUCAGGGUGCUGUCUGUUUGCUCUGGUUCUGGGUCUUUUCCCACAGGUGGUGUUGGUGUCUGUGGGGGCGUGACCCACACCUGCGGCUCGUCAGGAGCAGAUUCCGCUGGCUUCUUAAGCAGUGCAGAGACAGAUGGAAGAUGCCAGAGCCUUAAACCAGUCGUGUUUUGUGUGCUUGGAUGCACUUACCUGGCCUGGAGUUUUGAUGAGGAGUUGUUCAGUGGAAGUCCUGUGCUCAGAUGUUGCUCUGACGUUCCCCCUCAAACUUUCUAGGACGUACCUAGUUGGAGUGAGGUCCCCCCCUCCUGGAUUCCACUUGCAUCCUCAACUUUCUGUACUCUGGUCAAUCCGUCUGUCCCUCCUACCUGUGGAGGUUGCUUCGGGUCUCUCGCCAGUUUCCACCAGCUUUCCUCCAGUCACCACCCACAUAUCAGAGAAGACACUAGUUCCCUCAAUGCUUACUCUUCCCUGCUCGUGUUUCUCCGACUAAGGUUAAUCCCGCCCAGAUGUUCAGGCCUCGAUCCAGGCGUCUAGCAGUUCCAACUUGUUUUUGCACCUUGCUCCUUUAAUAAACAUCUUAAACUGUG